GCUCGUAUAGUUCAAUGGAUAGAAUGAUCGGCUACGGUUCAAAUCGUCCGGGGGACGAUUGCCCUGAACGGACCGAAGCGGAGCGUAGAACCGAUUGAUUCAGGUUCGAAUCCUGAUAUGAGCA
rnacentral:tRNA from 1 species